CGGAGUCCGGUUCCCAUCCCACCUUGGUCCCAGAGGUUACCUAUUUCUUUCCCUCCUGGAACAUUAGGAAGUAGUUUUGUAAUGUGGAGGAUAAGUUAAAAACAGUACUCAGCUCUUCUGUUUACACAGUCUGUUCAUGUUAUGUCAUAACCAUCAUAACGUCAUGACUUGAUCAUAGUGAAUUACUCGAGAGCUUGUACUGAUGAUGGUAUGACACACCUCCAGCAAUCCAUCAGUAGAAAGGGUCCUGGAGAAGUCCCACAAAAGACCACCAUCCACAUAUGCAAUCAGCAAGAGUGUUUAUUAUCUUGAGAAAGCUUCCAGCAUGCUGGGGCCAGCCGUCCCACACAAAGGCAAAAUAACAUAAUCCAGAGAGGAGCUCACAGGCUCUUUUUUAAGCACAAUCAAGGGGAGUUUUUAGGGCAGUUAGGUCACUUUAGAUAUGAUUGG